rnacentral:rRNA from 1 species
AUACGGAGGGUGCAAGCGUUGUUCGGAAUCACUGGGCGUAAAGGGCGCGCAGGCGGUUUGGUAAGUCAGAUGUGAAAGCCCACGGCUCAACCGUGGAAGUGCAUUUGAAACUGUCAGACUUGAGUACUAGAGGGGAAAGUGGAAUUCCCGGUGUAGAGGUGAGAUUCGUAGAUAUCGGGAGGAAUACCGGUGGCGAAGGCGACUUUCUGGCUAGAUACUGACGCUGAGGCGCGAAAGCGUGGGGAGCAAACAGGAUUAGAAACCCUAGUAGUCC